rnacentral:tRNA from 1 species
GGCGACGUAGCUCAGAGGUAGAGCGCUUGGCUCAUAACCGAGUGGUCGGUGGUUCGAUCCCACCCGUCGCCA